rnacentral:lncRNA from 1 species
GCCCCUCUGUGCCAAGGGUUUGGGCUUUUUUCCAUCACUCAGUCUCCUUCAAAGUUACCUAGACAGUACUUUUAUUUUCAGUUGGAUAUUUUGUUUGUUUUACCAGGCACCUGCUUAACAGGAAAUUGAAGAAAGGAUUUUAAAAAUAUGCAUGCAUCAGUGUUCACUUAGCAUGACGUGUUCUGCUGUGGUGCUACAAUGUGGAGCCAGACAGACUGAAGGUGGUGAAGAGAAAGUGAGGUAUCUUGCUUGAUCGAAUGGUACCAGUACUUCAGGUAUGUUUGACAGUCACUCAGUUGGUAUCUGAUUGACAUUUACUGAGUUCACUCCUAGUAAUUCAAGGGAAACCUUUUUCUCUUUUGUGUUGUGAUGCCCAUAGCCAACAGGAGCCUUGAGAUGAGUUCCUCUCCUCAGAAGUGUGAUUGCUGGCAAUGCAUUUUCAUACCGGCUUUUGGAA